UGCCAAAGUGUAUGUUCCCAUAAAUUAAUUGUUCUCUUCAAUAUUUCAGCUUAAUUACCCAAGUGUUUGAGAAUUGGGAGAAACCCCAAACCCAAAAUAAAAAACCCCAAACAAUAAUUUUCUCUCUCCUCUGAUUUUAUACCCCGUACUGUGCAUGCUCAAUUUCUGCAAUUUGGAGUCGGAAUUUGCGAAAACUUAUUCAAUCAAAGUUGUAGAUCUCGAAAAGUUAUUGAACUUAGACCCAAAAAUCACUUGAUUUGGAGUUCGGAGCUAUGAGUUAUGGUCUUUGUAAGUUUGGUGUUCCUAUCUCCAUUUCUCUCUCCUAUGUUUUUAUUCCGACAAUCUGUUUCCUCAAUUAUCUACAACAUGCAGUCAAAUUUUGCUCUUUGUUGCUGAAUGAAAGUUGUAGAUCACUUCGAGCUAAUAAAUUUGGGCAUGAAAAUCACAUGAUUUGGAGUUCGGAGCUAUGAGUUAUGGUCUUUGUAAGUUUGGUGUUCCUAUCUCCAUUUCUCUCUCCUAUGUUUUUAUUCCGACAAUCUGUUUCCUCAAUUAUCUACAACAUGCAGUCAAAUUUUGCUCUUUGUUGCUGAAUGAAAGUUGUAGAUCACUUCGAGCUAAUAAAUUUGGGCAUAAAAACCACUUGAUUUGGAGUUCGGAGCUAUGAGUUAUGGUCUUUGUAAGUUUGGUGUUCCUAUCUCCAUUUCUCUCUCCUAUGUUUUUAUUCCGACAAUCUGUUUCCUCAAUUAUCUACAACAUGCAGUCAAAUUUUGCUCUUUGUUGCUGAAUGAAAGUUGUAGAUCACUUCGAGCUAAUAAAUUUGGGCAUAAAAAUCACUUGAUUUGGAGUUCGGAGCUAUGAGUUAUGGUCUUUUCAAAUUUUGCUCUUUGUUGCUGAAUGAAAGUUGUAGAUCACUUCGACCUAAUAAAUUUGGGCAUAAAAAUCACUUGAUUUGGAGUUCGGAGCUAUGAGUUAUGGUCUUUGUAAGUUUGGUGUUCCUAUCUUCAUUUCUCUCUCCUAUGUUUUUAUUCCGACAAUCUGUUUCCUCAAUUAUCUACAACAUGCAGUCCAAUUUUGCUCUUUGUUGCUGAAUGAAAGUUGUAGAUCACUUCGAGCUAAUGAAUUUGGGCACAAAAAUCGCUCAAUUCGGAGUUCGGAACUAAGAGUUACGCCUCACACAAGUUCAGCACUGCUGCUGUACCUUGUGUUGCGCUGCUGUCGUGGUUGGCUUGUUUGCCAUGUUGUCUUGCUAACUUGUUGCCUUGUUGCUGCCAUUGUUGGUAUUCCUUUCCAUAUGAAGGUAUAAGCUAAUUUUUCUUAAUUCCUCAUCUCCUUUGAUUCCGAUUCAAGUGUGGUGCGAUUGGAUUUUAUAUUAUGAUUUUAGAAAUAAACUUGGUUCGAAAUUUUGUUAUUGAUUAGCAAAUAUAGUUAUGAUAAAAGUUAAAAGUUUGUUCAACUUAAAGAUUAAAUCUUUCCUAUUUAUUUAAUGGGUUGGAUUGAGGCUUAUAAUUUGUAUUUAUAUUUCUUAAGUUAGUUUAUGAAAUCAAAUUUCAAUAAGCCAUGUUGUUUGAUAGUAUCCUCUAUCUGUGAAUUAGAAUGAGGUUAAUUGGAGUUAGAGAUUGAUAUAGUGAAGUGGAUUAGUAGAAUGGUUUGUAAAUAAGGAGUGUGGGUCGUUCAUGAGAGAGGUUAGUUAGAAGGUAUGAGAAAGUUAAUUUCUUUAUUUAAUUGGUAGUAAGGAUGUUAAUUGUUGUUCAUAUUGUUGUGAGGUGAUUGUUGGAGAUUGAUAAAGAAUUUGGAAAUGUUGGAAUCUUGAAGAUUAUUAUGGAAUUGAGCAUUCUUUGGGGAAAAUGAAAGAGAGUUCAUUGUUAGUGAUCUUGCAGGUUCGUGCGUGGAAAACUCGGAAUGGAGUAAAGGAAGAAUUUAGGUAUUAAGGUUAUAGUGAGAUGUAAUGGUUCAGAGUUUGUAUUAGGGUUAUAUAACCUUAUUUGUGAAGAAAUUAUUAUAGUGCUUUAGAAGUCGAGCAAGGUAUUAUUGUAAUAUGUUAUUGGUUAUUGAGGAUGUGUUGUGGGCCCUGACCCACAGGUCCAGGAUCGUGUAUUGAAGGUUUUAUUCCGCUGCGAGUAAAUAAUUAAUUCAAGGCUAUUAAGUGUUGA